rnacentral:lncRNA from 1 species
CCCACAUCUUCCUGGCUCUUGUUCCUGUGGCUCUGGGCUGGAGCAUGGUAGAAUGGGAUGGCAGCUCUCAGGGCUACACCCGCAGGUACUGAUUACUCCAAAGCCGUGAUGCGGGCAGGGCUGGAGGGCAGGGCGCUGAGCAUGUGCUGCUGUUUGCAGGAGCUGCUGGGGUUGGAGGCCUGGGAGCAGGAGGCCUAGGGGUUGGAGCUGGACUUGGGGGUGCAGGGCUCGGUGUUGGAGCAAAACCUCCCAAGCCAGGCCUCGGGGGACUCGGCACACUUGGCCUGCAGCCAGGUGGCGUAGUCCAGCCAGGUUUCUACCCAGGAGGCGUCUACCCAGGCGGCAUCUACCCAGGGGCUGGGCUGGGAGCCUAUAAAGCUGUUGCCAAAGCUGGUGCUGGAGUGCCCCAGACUGGGGUGCAGCCAGGAGUAGGCGCUGGAGGGAAACCUGCCAAGGUACCAGGUAGGUGACGGAGAAAGCGUUAGUGCGGGGCUGGGAAGGGUGAGACCAAUCAGCUGG